AGCCGAAUAGGACAAUAGUGAUAAGAGCUUUAUGAGCAAGUAGUCCAUGAGUGCAUUUAUUCUUUGCCUUGGCUUCUCUUCCUCUUGUGAGACAGUUGUCCUCAGUUUAUUUAUUCUGACAGUAGAGGGAUGAAGACGUUGGAUUGUCACUAAUGGGUUUGGACAAGAAGAAUCUUACUCACAUGUCUUUCUCAGAGCUUUCUGGAU
rnacentral:lncRNA from 1 species